rnacentral:misc_RNA from 1 species
CAAGGCAUCUGGCACCCUGCAGUUCCUCUCCUAUCGUUGUAUCCACAUUGGUCGCCCAGCACGCCGCCUCCCCACAACUUGCCAGCCACGCCAUGCCCUCGCUGCACCUCGCCUCGCCGCGGUCGGAACUGUGCCUCCUCGUCGUGCGCAGCAACCACAGCCCAGCCUCAACUCUAGCCCCGUCUCACCGGCGCCUGCAGCCACGGCUGCUACGCGCGUGCGCAGGGCAACACGCGCCCUCCCCUCGAUGUCUGGGCUGCUGCGCUAUCGUCGCCAUGGAGUAUCGCUGCUGUUCAUCGACGUCCACACCUCUCUGUUGGCGUUCUUCUUCUUCCGAUUGUGAUCCGUUUCCGAGCUUUGAGGGAUCGACGAUCAAGCGUUGGCGACCAAGUGAUCAAGCUCUCUGAGUUCUAUAAGGCUGAAGAUUCUGAGCAUCUGUUUGGUGAAGGAAAGUGUCCUCUGACCCAUUAUGUCCCAUUUACUUUAUAAUACACUGUCCCGCAUACUAUGAACAACCUAAGGAUUUACUAGCUUUCUAUUUACCUUGCCCUUGAUUUACCUUUUGGGUUACUAUGGUUAGCCACAUGCUAGCGCUUUACUUUAAUUAAUGAACAUGAUGAGAUACAAUGAUGAUACUAUGAUUUUAUUCUGGAUAUGAUGAUAUACUUGUGGCAUUUAGGGGACUCGGGCUGUUUCCCGAGUACCUCUCCGUAAGGACCUGUUCGUUGAGAGACCACCCGGGAUAACAGUGCAACCAUGAGGGUGAAAUGGGAUGCCCUUAGCUAAUUAAUUAGAGGAACUAGAGGUGUAGUUGCUUCGCCGUCGUGCCGUCAAUGGGGUCCAGGCACAGUGCUUGCUCUGUCGUGGCUGAGUGCCGAGGUUCUUUCGUUUUGCUUUGGUUAGUCACUC